AAGGACAUGUGGAGCGCUUAGAAGUGAGAAUGCCGGUGUGAGUAGCGAAAGACGGGUGAGAAUCCCGUCCACCGAUUGACUAAGGUUUCCAGAGGAAGGCUCGUCCGCUCUGGGUUAGUCGGGUCCUAAGCUGAGGCCGACAGGCGUAGGCGAUGGAUAACAGGUUGAUAUUCCUGUACCACCUAUAAUCGUUUUAAUCGAUGGGGGGACGCAGUAGGAUAGGCGAAGCGUGCGAUUGGAUUGCACGUCUAAGCAGUAAGGCUGAGUAUUAGGCAAAUCCGGUACUCGUUAAGGCUGAGCUGUGAUGGGGAGAAGACAUUGUGUCUUCGAGUCGUUGAUUUCACACUGCCGAGAAAAGCCUCUAGAUAGAAAAUAGGUGCCCGUACCGCAAACCGACACAGGUAGUCAAGAUGAGAAUUCUAAGGUGAGCGAGCGAACUCUCGUUAAGGAACUCGGCAAAAUGACCCCGUAACUUCGGGAGAAGGGGUGCUCUUUAGGGUUAACGCCCAGAAGAGCCGCAGUGAAUAGGCCCAAGCGACUGUUUAUCAAAAACACAGGUCUCUGCUAAACCGUAAGGUGAUGUAUAGGGGCUGACGCCUGCCCGGUGCUGGAAGGUUAAGAGGAGUGGUUAGCUUCUGCGAAGCUACGAAUCGAAGCCCCAGUAAACGGCGGCCGUAACUAUAACGGUCCUAAGGUAGCGAAAUUCCUUG
rnacentral:rRNA from 1 species